ACUAACCAUAGAAGGUGAUAGUCCCGUAGGGGUAAUGCUUAAUGUUGUUCUUGAGUAGAGCGGGACACGUGUAAUCUUGUUUGAAUAUAGGGGGACCACCCUCUAAGCCUAAAUACUCUUCAGUGACCGAUAGUGAACUAGUACCGUGAGGGAAAGGUGAAAAGAACCCCUAUUAGGGGAGUGAAAUAGAACCUGAAACCGUAUGCCUACAAACAGUCGAAGCUCUUUUUAGAGUGACGGCGUACCUUUUGUAUAAUGGGUCAGUGACUUAAUUUGUCCAGCAAGCUUAAGCCGUAAGGUGUAGGCGUAGCGAAAGCGAGUCUUAAAUGGGCGCAAGUUGUAUGAAUUAGACCCGAAAACGAAUGAGCUUACCAUGAGCAGGUUGAAAGCAGGGUAACACUUGCCGGAGGACCGAACCAGUUGACGUUGAAAAGUCUUUGGAUGACUUGUGGUAAGGGGUGAAAGGCCAACCAAAUUCGUAGAUAGCUGGUUUUCCGCGAAAACUAUUUAGGUAGUGCGUUGAGUAAAUUAAUGUUUGGAGGUAGAGCACUAAAGGGGCUAGGGGAGAGAAAUCUUUACCAACCCUCAUAAAACUCCGAAUGCCAAACAUUUUACCUCAGCAGACAGACUGUGGGUGCUAAGGUCCAUGGUCGAAAGGGAAAAAGCCCAGAUCACCAGAUAAGGUCCCUAAAUCAUGAUUAAGUGUGAAAGGAUGUGGAGAUUCCUAAACAGCCGGGAGGUUGGCUUAGAAGCAGCCAUCCUUUAAAGAUAGCGUAACAGCUCACCGGUCUAAUAGAGUUUCUGCGCCAAAGAUGUAACGGGGCUCAAAUCAUGUACCGAAUCUGUGGAUUUAUAAUUUCUUCGGAAAUUAUAUCUGGUAGCGGAACGUUCUGUAAGCCUGCAAAGGGAUACCCGUGAGGGAUCCUGGAGGUAUCAGAAGUGCGAAUGCUGACAUAAGUAACGAUUAACAGAGUGAAAAACUCUGUCGCCGAAAAUCCAAGGGUUCCUGCGCAAGGUUAAUCCGCGCAGGGUUAGUCGGUCCCUAAGUCGAGGGCGAGAGCCGUAGACGAUGGAAACAAGGUUAAUAUUCCUUGACCAGAUGGAAGUGACGGAUUACGUAAAUUGUUAACUCUUAAUGGAUUGAGUUAGCCGUGAAGUAGUCCCAGGAAAUAGCUCCAUCAUUAGACCGUACCCGAAACCGACACAGGUGGAUUAUUAGAGUAUAAUUAGGCGCUUGAGAGAAUGAUGUUGAAGGAACUCGGCAAAAUGCCUCCGUAACUUCGGAAGAAGGAGGACCCAUUUUCAGGCAACUUUAAGUGGGUGGCACAAGCUAGGGAGAUGCGACUGUUUAUCAAAAACACAGGGCUCUGCUAACACGUAAGUGGAUGUAUAGGGUCUGACGCCUGCCCGGUGCUGGAAGGUUAAUGCGAUCAGUGCAAGCUGAUUUCUGAAGCCCCAGUGAACGGCGGCCGUAACUAUAACGGUCCUAAGGUAGCGAAAUUCCUUGUCGGGUAAGUUCCGACCUGCAUGAAUGGCGUAACGAUAUCUCCGCUGUCUCCAACAUCAACUCAGUGAAAUUGAAUUCUCCGUGAAGAUGCGGAGUUCCCGUGGUUAGACGGAAAGACCCCGUGCACCUUUACUACAACUUUAUAUUGGUGUUAGGAAUGAUAUGUUUAGCAUAGGAGGGAGACUUUGAUGUUUAAGCGUCAGCUUAAGCGGAGUCAUCAGUGAAAUACCUCUCUUAUUAUUCUUGACAUCUAACUGCAUGCCG
rnacentral:rRNA from 1 species